rnacentral:rRNA from 1 species
UUGGUCAAUGGCCGAAAGGCUGAACCAGUAACUUGGAAGAAUGAAAAUGUAUUAAAAGAAUACAGUAACGAUUAACUCGUAUAAAAUUCUAAAUAGAAGAAUGAUAAUGACAAAUUUCUAUUUAUAAGUCUUGACCAAAUUACGUGCCAGCAGUCGCGGUAAUACGUAAGAGACUAGUGUUAGUCAUCUUUAUUAGGUUUAAAGGGUACCUAGACGGUAAAUUAAACUCUCACAGAGUACUUUUUUACUAGAGUUUUAUGUAAGAAGGUUGAAUUUCUGGAGUAGUGAUAGAAUAAUGUGAUACCAGAGAGACAGGUAACGGCGAAGGCAACCUUCCAUGUAAAAACUGACGUUGAGGGACGAAGGCUAGGGUAGCGAAAAGGAUUAGAUACCCUUGUAGUCCAAGCAGACAAUGAUGAAUGCCAUAGACUAGAUAUAUAUUUAGAUCAUAAAUGAAAGUGUAAGCAUUCCACCUCAAGAGUACUAUGGCAACAUAUAAACUGAAAUCAUUAGACCGUUUCUAAAACCAGUAGUGAAGUAU